rnacentral:rRNA from 1 species
GACAGAGGGUGCAAACGUUGUUCGGAAUUACUGGGCGUAAAGCGCGCGUAGGUGGUUUGUUAAGUUGAAUGUGAAAUCCCCGGGCUCAACCUGGGAACUGCAUGCAAAACUGGCAAGCUAGAGUAUGGUAGAGGGUGGUGGAAUUUCCUGUGUAGCGGUGAAAUGCGUAGAUAUAGGAAGGAACACCAGUGGCGAAGGCGACCACCUGGACUGAUACUGACACUGAGGUGCGAAAGCGUCGGGAGCAAACAGG